rnacentral:rRNA from 1 species
AUUGAACGCUGGCGGCAUGCCUUACACAUGCAAGUCGAACGGCAGCACGGGAGCGAUCCUGGUGGCGAGUGGCGAACGGGUGAGUAAUAUAUCGGAACGUGCCCAGUCGUGGGGGAUAACGCAGCGAAAGCUGUGCUAAUACCGCAUACGAUCUACGGAUGAAAGCGGGGGAUCGCAAGACCUCGCGCGAUUGGAGCGGCCGAUAUCAGAUUAGCUAGUUGGUGGGGUAAAGGCCCACCAAGGCGACGAUCUGUAGCUGGUCUGAGAGGACGACCAGCCACACUGGAACUGAGACACGGUCCAGACUCCUACGGGAGGCAGCAGUGGGGAAUUUUGGACAAUGGGCGCAAGCCUGAUCCAGCAAUGCCGCGUGCAGGAUGAAGGCCUUCGGGUUGUAAACUGCUUUUGUACGGAACGAAACGGCCCUUUCUAAUACAGGGGGCUAAUGACGGUACCGUAAGAAUAAGCACCGGCUAACUACGUGCCAGCAGCCGCAGUAAAAC